UCUUGGGUCAUUUAGAGGAAGUAAAAAGUCGUAACAAGGUUCCGUAGGUGAACCUGCGGAAGGAUCAUUAUUGAAUGUAAACGGAGUUGGUUGUAGCUGGCCUCUUCACUGGGGCAUGUGCACGCCUUCUCUGUUCAUCCACACACACCUGUGAACUUGUGAGACGGGUAGCCCCCUCGGGGGCCGUCCGUCUGCUACACAUAAAACUCUUAUAUAUAAAUUUGAAUGUAAUUGAUGUAACGCAUCUAUAAACUAAGUUUCAACAACGGAUCUCUUGGCUCUCGCAUCGAUGAAGAACGCAGCGAAAUGCGAUAAGUAAUGUGAAUUGCAGAAUUCAGUGAAUCAUCGAAUCUUUGAACGCACCUUGCGCUCCUUGGUAUUCCUCGGAGCAUGCCUGUUUGAGUAUCAUGAAACCUUCAAAAUAAAUCUUUUGUUCAUUCGAUUGAUUUUAUUUUGGACUUGGAGGUCUGCAGAUUCACGUCUGCUCCUCUUAAAUUUAUUAGCUGGAUCUCAGUAAGCUCGGUUCCACUCGGCGUGAUAAGUAUCACUCGCUGAGGACACUGUAAAAGGUGGCCGGGGUUGCAGAUGAACUGCUUCUAAUAGUCCAUUCACUUGGACAAUUUAUUUAUGAUCUGAUCUCAAAUCAGGUAGGACUACCCGCUGAACUUAAGCAUAUCAAUAAGCGGAGGA
rnacentral:rRNA from 1 species